rnacentral:rRNA from 1 species
UCGAUGGGAAACGGGUUAAUAUUCCCGUACUUCUUACAAUUGCGAUGGGGGGACGGAGAAGGCUAGGUGGGCCUGGCGACGGUUGUCCAGGUUCAAGUGCGUAGGCUUAAGAGUUAGGUAAAUCCGGCUCUUUCUAAGGCUGAGACACGACGUCGAGCACCUACGGGUGUGAAGUCAUUGAUGCCAUGCUUCCAGGAAAAGCCUCUAAGCUUCAGAUUGUAAGGAAUCGUACCCCAAACCGACACAGGUGGUCGGGUAGAGAAUACCAAGGCGCUUGAGAGAACUCGGGUGAAG